rnacentral:lncRNA from 1 species
UGAUUCUCAUCGAGGGACAUACAAGGUUGCCUUUAUGUACUUUGUGAACUCUGUGUUUAAUUUCUCUUUUAUCGUGGCGAAUUUGAUGUGUUGUGUGGAUCCUAAGACGAUCAUAUGUUUAUUUCAAAUUGUUCAGUUGAACCUAUCUCCAUAUGUUUAUUUCAAAUUGUUCAGUUGAACCUAUCUCCAUAUGUUUCGGUUUUAAUGAACCUUAUUUAUAUUUGCUUUUUUUUUUUUUGUUCAAUGAGAUUUUCUAACUUAAAAGUAAGAGAAAUAUAUUAUCUGAUCCUCGAGCAUACAAGGUUGUCUCUCGAGUACUUUCAUGAAUGUGAACUCUUUGUUUUCUUCUUUAUUGUGCUGAUUUUGAUGGGAAAUACUAUACCAAUCUUUCUUUG